AAAAGAAAAUCAGGUCAAAAUUUAUCGCUGAGGAAAAUAUGGCGACGGCUUUGUUCAACACGACCAGAAGCUCUAACCUCUACCACCACCACUCAGUUCUCCCUCCGUUCUCCCAACGGUUUCACAUCCGCCGUCAAAAUAUCUUCUCUCUAGUGACUCCUCGCCGCUUACGCCGUCUCGCCGUCGUUGGUGGUCCUCCAUCUUCUCCGAGUCCUGAUCCGCCUCCGCCUGAGAACACCACUCAGCUCGAAGGUGUUGUGGGAGCUGUGACAAGGAUUGAAGACCGCGUAAAGAUCUUCCUGGCAGUACUGAUUUGGAUGUCUCUCUUCUUCUGGGUUACAGUGGUCGAUGGGAUGGGUAAAGGCAAAGGGAAGAAGGGUUCUCGUUUCAAGUAAUUUCCCAAACUCUGGUGUGAUUGCUCAUCAUCAUCAUCAUUAUAUUCCACAAACUGUAUAUUUAUGGUCUCGAGAGAUCAAAAUCACCUGUAGAAAUUCUCCCCAAGUAAAGCAUAUUUCUUGUAGAUCAGUCAUUCAGAUGCAGGGGCGUACCUGUAAUACGUGAGACCAUAGGCAAGAAAAAAAUGGGGGCCUACGCAUUAUUGUAGAACAUAAAAAACGCAUAGGAGAAUUUUUUUUUUUUCAAAAAAAAAGGUUAAGAGUAAUGGGAAAAGAGGAAGAGAGCCAGAGAUAAAGAGUAAAUGAAAAAAGUUAAAAGAAUAAAUUUUAUUUUUAAUAUUAAUUGUAGGUCCCAUUUUAAUUUUGUGUUGUAGUUAUCUUUUUCUGUUUUUCAUUUGCACAUUCCCUUGUAUGUAACUGUAAAUUGUGAUAAAAAAACACUAACUGCAUAAUUUUUUUUUUCAAAUGGGGGCCUUUGAAAAAUGGGGCCAAAGCCUAGGUUUUAUUGUGCUCUGUUCAAGAACGCCCCUGUUCAGAUGAUAGGAUUCAACAAUAUACAUUAUAAUAUGAUGGUUUUGCAUCAAUUCAAGUGAUGGUGUGGUCUUUGAGAGUUAACUGAAAUGUCCUUGUUUAUUUCUGUAUUUAGUUUUAUAUGAACAAACCACCAGUGUUUGUUUAUUGGCUAUAGACUCUACCAAAACUGCUGUAUAGCCUGUAUUGAACUAUAUAGAACGGUUAAGCAUGAGUAAAAUAGACAUGGGCCAUCAAGAUGGGUAU